GGAGAGGUGGCCGAGUGGCUGAAGGCGCACGCUUGGAAAGCGUGUAUGCGGGCAACCGUAUCGUGGGUUCGAAUCCCACUCUCUCCGCCA
rnacentral:tRNA from 1 species